GUCAUUCUUCUUUAAGCUUCAUUAGUGGCGUAUGCCAUUCUAUGCUAAAAAGAAAAAAAAAGGAAAACAAAGCGAUUAAAUAAUGCAAACAAGUUGUAACAAAACAAUCUCAAGUUCAUAAAAAAGAAGAAGAAAAAAGAAAAGAAUAGUGCAGAUUGUAAUCAAACAUAAACAGAGUAUCUAUAAAGUCAGGUCACUCACAUAUAGCGGAUCCUAUAUAUAUUAACUCCCUAAGUAGAACUUGUAUGCUCUUAGGGCAGCAUCACAUCACUCCUUCAAGUUGAUGUUCCCUCCAGCAAAGACAAAAAAUAAGAGAGGCAUCCAAUGUGUUGCAUAUAUGCUUAAAAUAUAAUUAAAACAUGGAAUAAGUAUUAAGCUCACCUUAUACAUAGCCUUUUAUCCUGACUCUGAGGGUAACAGGUGUAGUUCCAAUAUUGAGGGGAUGGCACCUCCCCAAUGAAGAUUCCCAAGGCUUUAGAGGACUUUUAAAAGUACUACUAAAUUUAAUUUACAAAAAAAAGAUAAACCAUAAAAUAAGUAAAUACUAUACAAACUUGUACAAAAAAAAAUAAGUUCACAAUCAGCCAAAAUGUGUUUCCCUCCUUUCUGAGCUUCUUCAGUCAGCUGUCUAUACACAUUUUGGCUGAUUUAGGACUUCUCUUUUUUAUACAAGUGUGUACAGUAUAGAAUAAUAAGUGGGAUAUUACAGACUCCCACAAGAUAUUGGGAGACCUGAUUGUAAUCCUAAGAGGUUAUGAAUGGGGUUGUUAAGUGGUUAAAUAAACAAUUAUACUACAAAACAUGUCAGAAACUGCUGGCAACAUGAUUGCAAAAAGUGUUAUGAGGAGAAAUUCCCCAUGUAAAAUAACCUGGGGCACAUUAUUUGGGGUGAUUUUAAAUGAUAGGUGGUUAAGUCACCUAUGAAUAAAAUUGAGUCUCAUUGUACACAAAUAAAGAUGGUGUGUAGGGGGUGCCUCUGAGUGAAAAAUGCAGGAAAAUAUUGACAAAAUCUUUAGCAGAAGACGGUGGUAAAAAUGCGUCAGUAAAUUUGUCCAAAUACCACAUGCAGACAAUCGGGAGUUGUCCAACGUUUGAAAAUGUAUACUGUGUACACCUCUAAAAUAUAUACUUGUGUGGUUUGGUUUUCAUUUUAUGAACGCUAAUAAAAUUGCAAGUGUUUAAAACAAAA